rnacentral:rRNA from 1 species
CGUGUAGGCGGUCUGUUCAGUCGGAAGUGAAAGCCCUCGGCUCAACCGGGGAAUUGCUUUCGAAACUGGCAGGCUUGAGUGCGGGAGGGGAGAGCAGAAUUCCCGGUGUAGCGGUGAAAUGCGUAGAUAUCGGGAGGAAUACCGGUGGCGAAGGCGGCUCUCUGGACCGUUACUGACGCUGAGACGCGAAAGCGUGGGGAGCAAACA